UACGAAGGGGGCUAGCGUUGCUCGGAAUCACUGGGCGUAAAGGGUGCGUAGGCGGGUCUUUAAGUCAGGGGUGAAAUCCUGGAGCUCAACUCCAGAACUGCCUUUGAUACUGAGGAUCUUGAGUUCGGGAGAGGUGAGUGGAACUGCGAGUGUAGAGGUGAAAAUUCGUAGAUAUUCGCAAGAACACCAGUGGCUAAGGCGGCUCUCUAGUACGGUACUGACGCUGAGACGCGAAAGCGUGGGGAGCGAACAGG
rnacentral:rRNA from 1 species